CGCUUAUAAGAAUAAUAUAUUAGUAUGACACUGGGCACAAAUAUGAGAAUGUAAACAUGUAAAUGCAAAUAGAAGGUAGUACUACCCCCGUUUCAAGUAAACGGAGGAGAGUCCUAAAGAGUCUACAGGUACUUAUCUAUUUUCCAGAAGGUUCCAUAGUUAGCCGAGAGUGUCCACAAGAGAAGCUUCCAUCAUCCAGCCUCCAAACAUCUUUUCUCCAAAAGGAUUUACGAAGUCCUUCAGUCCAGAAGUGUCCCAGGCUAUUGCACGACAUCAGCCUCAAGCCAUCUCCCUCACAAGCCGUGUGAGACAAUCUGAUGGCAGCCGCGAGCGCCGCAUCUACUGAUUCAUCACCUCGGUGACAAGAGCGCCACACUCCCCACUUGGGUUACAGCCUGGGAAGCACUCGCCUCGGUAAGAUGUCUGCUGGUGUGAUGUUACUCCAGUGACUCACUCAUCCA